ensembl:snRNA U6 U6 spliceosomal RNA
AUGCUCACCCUGGCAGCAGAUACACUAAAAUUGAGACGAUACAGAGAAGAUUGGCAUACCUCUUGCAUGAAGAUGACCCACAAUGCGAAAAUAAAAAAAAUAUAGUG